GAUAUCACAUUUUUCCUAAUCUCCCAGUUGUCUUCUUCCCCCCUUUUCCUCUUCUAGUCUAAAUUCCAUGGAACCUCAGCCAUGGACAGAUUUUGUUUACUCCAUUUUUGUGCAAAACGUACUUUUAACAGAGUCUGUUGCUACUCAAUCUCUCCAAAAACGCUCCUCUCUCUCUCUUCUUCAACGGGUCAGUCAACAGAUAAAGCCAAAAGACUUCUGAAAUUUUGAUUCUCCAAUUCUGAAGAACUGAUUUCUCAGAGCUUUUGUUUGAUUUUCAUAACGGCUCUUAUGGCCGUUUGAAUUUCAAAUCCCACCAAGGAAUUAAGCCCUAGAUUUUUCAUUAUAAAUAGUGGUGUUUUGAGGCCAUUGACAGAAGGGAGGGAGCCGCUGCCUUCACCCUUCGAAACCAAAUUUUUGACCGCUCUUCUCCUCUCUAAAAUUCACUCUUUGCCUAUUAGCUAUCUCCAAAAGAAAAGCUUUAACUUCAACACCUCUACUGUUUCUAUUUGGUAUUUACCAUAGCAGAAAUUUGGUUAUCCUCUAUUUAUUUAGUCGAGUCUGCUUUUGUUCGAGAGGGAGGAGUAAAGUCGAGAUCGAAGUUCGAUAGCGCGUUAAGACCCGCCUCAGUUCGCUACCCUGCAAAAGAGUCUUAAUUCGCGACUCUUGCAGUGGAGUUUCAUUAAGACUCAACACUACCACCACCACCACAUGGAGUCCACAUUACAUGUCAUCUUCCUUAGAAUGCACCGGAUAGCAAGAAAACAAGCAAAACGCGUGGGGGCGCCUAUGGCGUCUUUCUUAUAUUUUUCUUUUACAUUCGUUUUGUCUAACUUCUUGAUCACAGAUGAUUUAUUUGUCUGUGUUUAUCUCAUGUUGAGCAUGGGUUUGAUAAUUAGCUUUUUUAAUUAUUUGUAUUUUUCUGCUAGCCAAUAUAGUACCCAUUUAUCCCAUAGGAUUCGAUCUAUAGAUUAAAGGCCAAAAAUGUGAACUUAUGAAGAUUUGAAACCUUUUCAUUAAAUCUACUUUCUAACUCGUGAA